ACGGGUGAGUAACACGUGGGAACGUACCCUUUUCUACGGAAUAACCCAGGGAAACUUGGACUAAUACCGUAUGUGCCCUUCGGGGGAAAGAUUUAUCGGAAAAGGAUCGGCCCGCGUUGGAUUAGCUAGUUGGUGGGGUAAAGGCCUACCAAGGCGACGAUCCAUAGCUGGUCUGAGAGGAUGAUCAGCCACAUUGGGACUGAGACACGGCCCAAACUCCUACGGGAGGCAGCAGUGGGGAAUAUUGGACAAUGGGCGCAAGCCUGAUCCAGCCAUGCCGCGUGAGUGAUGAAGGCCUUAGGGUUGUAAAGCUCUUUCACCGGAGAAGAUAAUGACGGUAUCCGGAGAAGAAGCCCCGGCUAACUUCGUGCCAGCAGCCGCGGUAAUACGAAGGGGGCUAGCGUUGUUCGGAUUUACUGGGCGUAAAGCGCACGUAGGCGGAUCGAUCAGUCAGGGGUGAAAUCCCAGAGCUCAACUCUGGAACUGCCUUUGAUACUGUCAAUCUGGAGUAUGGAAGAGGUGAGUGGAAUUCCGAGUGUAGAGGUGAAAUUCGUAGA
rnacentral:rRNA from 1 species